rnacentral:lncRNA from 1 species
CAUCGUGUUACGUAUGCUUCCCGGAGAAACAAACGGUGGUAUCACAACAUGUUCAACCUUUUGACAAGGAUGAUCAUAGGUAACGCCAAACGUUUGUAAAACAAUCGAUUUCUUCAUGAUUUCAGGUACCCCAUCUUUCAUCGCCACGUCCUCCUUCAAAAUCCAAAAAAAAAAACUGAAUCAUUGAAAAAAAAAAGCAUGUAUAACAUAACAUAAACUUAUAUUAAACUUAUAUUAAUAUUGAGUUCUUUAUUUAUUUACCAGGGUAUGGAAACAAGAACCGAAAUCAUGCGAAGCUACGAAAACAUGGUCGGAACCUCUGCUUCGGUUCCAGAAAGGGUAAUCAGAGGAGAUGAGAUGAACUGCGGAAGA